AAUUGAACGCUGGCGGCAGGCCUAACACAUGCAAGUCGAGCGGAAACGAGUUAACUGACCCUUCGGGUGACGUUAACGGCGUCGAGCGGCGGACGGGUGAGUAAUGCCUGGGAAAUUGCCCUGAUGUGGGGGAUAACCAUUGGAAACGAUGGCUAAUACCGCAUAAUGCCUUCGGGCCAAAGAGGGGGACCUUCGGGCCUCUCGCGUCAGGAUAUGCCCAGGUGGGAUUAGCUAGUUGGUGAGGUAAUGGCUCACCAAGGCGACGAUCCCUAGCUGGUCUGAGAGGAUGAUCAGCCACACUGGAACUGAGACACGGUCCAGACUCCUACGGGAGGCAGCAGUGGGGAAUAUUGCACAAUGGGCGCAAGCCUGAUGCAGCCAUGCCGCGUGUGUGAAGAAGGCCUUCGGGUUGUAAAGCACUUUCAGCAGUGAGGAAGGCGGGUACGUUAAUAGCGUGCUCGUUUGACGUUAGCUGCAGAAGAAGCACCGGCUAACUCCGU
rnacentral:rRNA from 1 species